GGUCUUCAGGGUCUUUUGAAAAGUUACAGACCAGGUGUGCUGAAGAAGGUUGGAAAAAAACUUUGCAAGACAGUGGGUCCUGAGGAGCAGGGUUGAAGAGAGUUGACCUCUUGGGUUAAUUCAGGAUGGCUGGACCUGCAGGAAAAGCCAGAAUUGAGAAACCCUGCCCUACAAAGUGCAUAGCCUGUGACAGGUAUUUGUUGAAAUUCCACACACCCCGCAGGGAGAGGAAAGAACAUGUGUCUGCUGACCCAACCGCUCGUGUGCUUCAAAGAUCUAGAAACCAGUAGAGCUCCUCAACUUCAAGAUCACUUUAUAAAUAAUUGAAAUAAAUUAACAUGAAUAGAUAUUCUGUAUAAUAAA
ensembl:lncRNA